AGAUAGUGCUCAUUUUGCAAGAAAACAUACAACCUAAUUAGAUACAUAUUUAGGUAUGGUAAUGGUUACUUACGAUGGGGAGGAAACGGGGUGAACUAUAGGGAUAAAAUAUAAUAAAGAGAGGACUCUUGCGUGACCAGUGAUGAAAACUGGAAUAACAACAUUAUUUAUUGAACACAACACACCAAUUAUAAGAAUGAAAAGAUUGGAAUAAUUCUAGAAUGCCACAAAAUAACAUAUGUUAUGUGGCCUGGUACAGACUAUAAGCAUAAUAGUUCAGAAAAGGGAGAUUUGCAGAUAGAAUCAUGUGGAAGCCCUUCCUGAUGAAGUGUCACUUGCACUGGGCCUUGAAAGAAAGGAGUAUUUGCCCAAGAGAAAUGAAAGCUUAUGUCCACAUAAAGACUUGUAAAUGAAUGCUCAUAGCAGCUUUACAUAAUAGCCCAAAACUGGAACCAACAAAUGUCCAUCAACAG
rnacentral:lncRNA from 1 species